rnacentral:rRNA from 1 species
GUUCCUACGGGACGCAGCAGUGAGGAAUAUUGGUCAAUGGGCGCGAGCCUGAACCAGCCAAGUAGCGUGAAGGAUGACUGCCCUACGGGUUGUAAACUUCUUUUAUAAAGGAAUAAAGUGAGGCACGUGUGCCUUUUUGUAUGUACUUUAUGAAUAAGGAUCGGCUAACUCCGUGCCAGCAGCCGCGGUAAUACGGAGGAUCCGAGCGUUAUCCGGAUUUAUUGGGUUUAAAGGGUGCGCAGGCGGGCCUUUAAGCCGGCGGUGGAAUCGCGGGGCUCAAACCCGCCGAACC